GGGCUCGUAGGCAAACGGUAUACCGUAUCAUUCGCAUUGAUAAGUUCCGGGUUCAAUUCCCGGCGAGUCCA
rnacentral:tRNA from 1 species